rnacentral:lncRNA from 1 species
AGUGCUGGCAGCGAGGCUUCUUGGCCCCAUACGUCCAACCUUGCUGCUGGAGAGAUUGGGGUUUAUUUUUAACUGACUUACAUGAACGUGACCCCAUUUCCGAGGCCUGGCGCCUUUCUCCUCCUGUAAGUCUUCGCUCGAAUGUCACCUUGCGAGGGAAGUUGUUCCUGAUCACCCUGACUAUGUCCCCUACCGGUACUGUAUCCUCUGUCUCAACAAUCUGUUGGUUUCAUUCCUAACCCUUAAAGCAAAGUGUUUAUAUUUUUAUAUUUAUGUAUUUGUUGUCUGCCUCCCCUACUGGACUAUCAAAUCUUCUAGGAUAGGGCUUGAGUCUGUCUUAAUCACUAUUGAUGAGCAGCAGGUGCUUAGCACAGUAUUUGGUGUACCUGUGGAAGUGCCCAAAUGUUUGUUGAAUGACUGAGUAACCUUCCCCAUAUAAUAAAAAAAAAAAAAAAAAUUAGUUGGAAUUGGCCGGGCGCGGUGGCUCACGCCUGUAAUCCCAGCACUUUGGGAGGCUGAGGGUGGAUCACAAGGUCAGGAGUUCCAGACCAGCCUGGCCAACAUGGUGAAACCCCUUCUCUACUGAAAAUACAAAAAUUAGCCGGGCGUGGUGGCGGGUGCCUGUAAUCCCAGCUGCUCCGGAGGCUGAGGCAGGAGAAUCGCUUGAACCUGGGAGGCGGAGGUUGCAGUGAGCCAAGAUCGCGCCAUUGCACUCCAGCCUGGACAACAGGGCGAGAGUCUGUCUCAAAAAAACAACAAAAAAAAUUAGUUGGAAUUAUUAUACCUAACACGGCCUAAAUUUUUCUAAGAAGAAAAAUCUGCAAAACAAAUGCUUGGCCAGCCUUAAGGAAUGAAUGGCCUUAGACUGAGUAAACCACACCAAGAUCACUCCUGGAAAAUGUUUUCAAGUGUCGAAGAUGGGAUGAUCGCCCAAAAGUUCUUACUGAAACCAAAGAAGGCAAACACCACCUACUAUAUUAUAAAGGUACUGAGAGUCCCACUUGCCACUUGCUUCCUGCUUCUUGCCCGAUCGUAAAUUCUUGAUACUAAUUUUUUAGGAGCUUUCUGGAAACAUGUAUUUUUUUGUUUUGUUUUGUUUUUUGAGAUGAGUCUCACUCUGUCGCCCAGGCUGGAGUGCAGUGGCGCAAUCUCGGCUCACUGCAACUCCGCCUCCCAGGUUCAAGCAAUUCUCCUGCCUCAGCCUCCCAAGUAGCUGGGAUUACAGGCACCCACUACCAUGCCCGGUUAAUUUUUUGUAUUUUUAGUAGAGACAGGGUUUCAUCAUGCUGGCCAGACUGGUCUUGAGCUCCUGACCUCGUGAUCUGCCUGCCUCAGCCUCCCAAAGUACUGGGAUUACAGGCAUGAGCCACCACGCCCAGCCAAGACAUGUUGUUUUUACAGGUACUUAAAACAUUGUGUUUUUUACCUAGAAGUAAUAGAUACGUUGACCACUCCUAGGUAACCCAUCAUCAUUUCUUUUUUUUAACUCAUAAGUACCCAUUAAGGCCCAGACCUAGAGAAUGUUCAGGAGAACUGAAGAGAGAAGCAAAUGGGAGGAAAAUAAAAAGGAGUAAGUGUGGAGGAAUCCCAGUUUAGAAGCCCAAGGCUGGGGUUAAAGAUUGGCUGGCUUGCUUUGUGUUUUGCCAAAGCCCUGCCUUGGUCCCUUUUCUUUUUCUUUUCUUAUUGCUUGUUUCUUAGAGACAGGGUCUCACUAUGUUGCCCAGGCUGGAGGGCAGCGACUAUUCACAGGCAUGGUCCCACUACUGAUCUGCAUGAGAGUUCUGAUCGGCUCCAUCUCUGACCUGGGCCAGUUCACCCUUCCUUAGGCAACCUGGUGGUUCCCCGCUCCUGGGAGGGUGCCAUAUUGAUGCCAAACUUAGUGCAGAUCCAUCAUUCUGGGUGGCACAGAACUCCUGGGCUCAAGGGACCCUUCCACCUCAGCCUCCCGAGUAUCUGGGACUACAGGCAAGUACAACUGCUCCCAGCCCAGCUCCCAUUUUUUUCACGGCCCUAGCCUAAACAUAGAUUAAUUCUAAAUUACAGACUGUUGACACUGCCAUGUCUUUUAUUUUAUUCACUUAACAAACAUAUAUCAAGCGCCUACUGUGAGUCAGGCUUUGUGUUAGACUGAGCAUGCAGCAGUAAACAGGAUGUUCAGAGUAUCUGCCCACAAGAGUCCAGUGGGAGAUAGCAACAGUAAACAGGCAAUUACAAUACAGUGUAGUCAAUGCUAAGACAGGGCAAGUCCAGGGUGCCCAGAAAGCCAUAGAGGGGCUGACUUGGGAAUCAGUAGAAACUUCUCAAAGCAAUGAUAUUGAAGCUGAAACCCAGAAGGUGGGCAGAGUAGCUAGGUGGAGGAGACUGUAGGGUGGAAGAGUGUUUCUGGGAUGGAAAACAUGCACAAAGCCCAGGAAGAAAGACCUCAAGGCUUGUAUAGGACCCAGCUACUACACCAGGGAAGAAGUCUUUACAGGAAUUUGGGACUGGCUAGUAAUAAAGGGUGUGCGAUUUCAGGGAGCAUCUUCUCUGCAUAGGACUCAUUGGGAUUGAUGGCCAUGGUCAGCAGCUGGUAGAAAACAAAAGAUUUCCUGACCUCAGUGAUUUCCUCUAGAUACCACUAACCCUUGAUAUAUCAAAGGUGUUUUGUAGGCAGAUAACAGAAAACCUAACUAAAAGUGGCACAAGGAAAGAGCAAAUUUGUUAUCUCGCACAAUAGGAAAUCCAGUGACUCCAGGAUAAUUUGACCAUUCGAUGGCAUCAUCAUGGGCCUGUACGUUCAGCUCUGCCAGGGCCCUGCGUGUUGUCGUUUGUCCUCAGCUUAUCCCAUGCAGUGUUGAGACGGCUGCAGCCCCUCCAUGCACCAAAAUCAUGAUGGACAAAAACAGUGGAAGAAAUGCCCCAUCCUGAUGCCCUUUCUCAAAGGCAGUGGGAGGAAAUGUUUCCGGAAGUUCCCAGCUGCUUCUCUUCUUGUGUCAUUAAUCAGCUCUUUUUCUAUUCUUUUUCUGGGGUGGCCAUGACAAAGUAGAACAAACUGGGUGGCUUCAACAAGAGAUAUUUAUGCUCUCACAGUUCUGGAGGCCAGAAGGCCAAAUGCAGGUGUCAGCAAAGCCAUGUUCUCUCGAAGACUCUAGGGGAGGAUCUGUUCCAUACCCAGCUUCUGAUGGCUGCUGGCAACCCUUGGCAUUCCUUGGCUUGUAGGUGCAUCACUCCAAUCUCUGCCUCCAUCAUCACGUAGCAUUCUCCCUGUGUCUGCAUCUUCACAUGGCAUUCUCCUUAUAAGGACGCCAGUCAUAUUGGAUUAGUGCCCACCCUAAUGACCUCAUCUCAACUUAAUUACAUUUGCAAAUAUCCCGUUUCCAAAUAUCACAUUCACCAGAGCCAAAGGUUAGGAUUUCAGCAUGUUUCUGUAGAGACACAGUUCAAUCCAUAAUUCCAACCUGUGCCAAAAGCAGUCACUGGAUGGUUUAUUCAUAUUCAUACAUACAUAGCAUUGCCAGCAUCGAAUGGUGUUUAUUCCAAGUUCAUUUGAGAGUGGUGCUGGGAUGAGGCAAGACUCAGAAUAGUAAUUAUGAAAUAGUCACACCUGAUAUACUGAACUGACUUAGAUUAUUGAAGAAGACCCCCUUGGGCUGGAGAGGGGCCUCAUCUCCUCUGAAAUAUAUGGCUGCUAAUACCUGACUGAAAUUGGGUUUGAUCAACAAGAAGAGGAAUGGCCAUUGUGUGAAGACACAGCACUGUCUUGUGAGAACACAAGAAGGUGGCUGUCUGCGAGCCAAGAGGAGAAGCCUCACCAGAACCCAACUCUGCUGGCACCCCGAUCUCAGACUUCUAGCCUCCAGAACUGAAAAAAAUAAAUUUCUGUUGUUUAAGCCACCCCGUCAAUGGUAUUUUGUCAUGUCAGCCUGAACAGUCUAAGACAAUUCUCUGUGUAUUCUUCUGUGUUAUUCUUCUUAGACUGUUAACUCCUAUACAUCAGAAACUGAUUGCAUCCAUUUUGACAGUGCCUAGGGCAAAACACCCACAGAGGUAUAAACCUCAUACUCUAUAAGAAGCACUUCGUGGGGCGUGGUGGCUCACACCUGUAAUCUCAGCACUUUGGGAGGCCGAGGCGGGUGGAUCACCUAAGGUCGGGAGAUCAAGACCAUCCUGGCUAACAUGGCGAAACCCCGUCUCUACUAAAAAUACAAAAUUAGCCGAGCAUGGUGGCACAUGCCACCAGCUACUCAGGAGGCCAAGGCAGGAGAAUCACUUGAACUCGGCAGGCGGAGGUUGCAGUGAGCUGAGAUCGCGCCAUUGCACUCCAGCCUCGGCAACAAGAGCAAAACUCCGUCUCAAAAAAAUAAAGCACUUCAAGUACUAUCUUUAUUAAUUAUAUUGCCAAGGAGGUUUGCCCUCUUCAAUAUACUUUACAAAAUUCCUGCUACUAAAUGCAUAUUAACCUAGGAAUCUUUUCUCUGAGUAGCUCAGCCUGCUUUCUGAUUUAUGCCUUAAAUUCAACUUGUCAUGAGAGAAGCGUUUUAGUUGGCUUUUGUCAGCAGGAAGAAGCAUCUCUUUAUUGUACUUCUACCCAACAAUGGCAUCCUACUCCACCUGCUGCCAACAGUCAGAAACAUGGAAACCCGAACACCUCCCAUAUACAAUUCCGCAUCUCCUCUAGCAGACGAUGUGACCGUUUCACAACUACUAUCCCAAGUACUGCCUCGUAUCAGCACCACUCUCAAAUGAACUUGUAAUAAACACCAUUCAAUUCUGGCAAUGCCGUGUAUUUAUGCAUAUGAAGACAGCUUAAGAACAAAAUAAUCAGGGCUCAGAGAUUAUCUAUCUAAUGGGAUUUAGUGCAUGAGUCCCCGGACAAUGUGAUCUUAAUGUCCUGCAUGUAACUAGUUGUGCUGGGCCAAGAUGGAAAAAGAACCCAAAAACUAACCGCUGUCUUCCAAAACUGCCCACCCAGCAGCUCUGCGAAUCUUAAAUCUCAGAGCUGUAGGCAAGAGCAAGCUGUGUGUUCCCUGUUGCCAUGAGGAUGCAAACGAGAAAGGAGUACCAAAAAAAUUAGAAACCCGUUCCUUUGAAAGUAGCUGGCAUUCUCCUUUAAGAGGAAGGGUCUGUCACUGGACUCAAUGGGCCUCGCUGAUGUCUUGGCAACAGCAGGAGAAAAUGGUCCAAGCAAGAGUUGAUUGGCCGGAGUGUGUUGAGUGUGUUCAGAGAGUUAAUAACAGACCCCAAACCACAAGUCUUAAGAAAAUUACCGAGAGGACG